rnacentral:lncRNA from 1 species
AGUGAGAAUAGAUUUGUAACUAUGGCAGAUCUUCAUGAAUUUGUUAAUACUCUAAGAGUAAAAAUCUCACGUAUUUUCAACAUGAAUCAUGGAAGUACUAUGCCUACGCCUAUAAAAAAAGUUCAGAGUCUGCGACAAGAAGUUGUGCAGUUGAAAGAAGCAAGUAGAUCAACGUCACAACCAAAUCCAAGGAGUUUGCUUCUACAAAUAUGACAAGGAGAAGGAUUAGUAUGCUUGAGAAGUUUGAUGGAACAAGAUCAAAAUUUCAAGGAUUUUUACAACAAGUCAAGCUCUAUCUAAGGUUGCACC